rnacentral:tRNA from 1 species
ACCGGGCUGGCUCAGUCAGUAGAGCGUGCGACUCUUGAUCUCAGGGUUGUGAGUUUGAGCCCCAUGUUGGGUG